rnacentral:rRNA from 1 species
AUGGGAUCAAAAUUUAAUGCAUUGUGGAAAAAUGAGUUACUUGCCCUGGGCAAAGAUGAUAAAGAUAAAGCAAUCACAGUAAGAAAUGAUUAUCCGAAGCCCCCUAUCCCUUGUUUUGAAGUUACUGAGGGUUUUGAUUUGGAAAAGGUUGAGGAGCUUAUGCUAGAAAGGGAGAUUAAGAUCGCCAAGUCCAUGGCAAAUGACAUAAUCAUCCCAGACCCUGCUCCCAAGUUUGUGGGUGAUGCCUUCUUGGACAUAUAUGCCAAAUUGGAGCACAUCCUUGUAAAGGAUAGUGUCCGGUGCUUCCUCCGAUUUUUCGAGAACUGUGAAGGCCAGGGCAUGUCAUCUUAUCUUACCAUCACCGCACAAACCUUAACCUUCAUUGUCGGUUUCAAUGCCCUGCGAUGUGCAAAAGUCGUAUUGGAGGGCAUGGCACCUGAGCUCUAUGGGAUGCACGCCAAUCCCAACUGCAUAAACAAAUAUGGAUACUUCGUGCUCCAUGAAGCUGCUGAAAGGUUCUCUGUUGACAUGAUCAAGCUGCUUUUACGCCAUGGUGCAUCAGCCAAUGUGCGCACAGUUGGCAAUGAUGUCAUUGAGAAUCUACUCCCGCUCCAUGUCGCAGUUGAGAAUACUUGCCUGCAUAAGUAUCUGGAGGACAAUCUGGAGGACAAUCCUUCUCGCAGCCAGAAUCAUGAGGAUUAUGUCUACAAGCUUAUUCAUCUGCUGUGUCUACCUGAAAUGAAGAUCUUCUUGGACACAAUUAGACUGCUUGCAGAGAAAACAAAUAAUCUACUCGAAGAGCUCUGGAAUUAUAUUGAGGAUGGAAAAAUUAUCCAGUCUGCUGUUCUACUACUGGCUGCUCAAGAGCAGAUCCGUGGGGUUAGUUCUUCCAAGAUAAAUGGCAGUAGUAAGAAAAAUGGGUUUGAAAUCAUCGAGAAGUGUAUAACGAGGCAUUCAUAUGCCUUGAGAAACGAGAAAGGUUCACUUGGAAUGGCACAGGAGCUUCUGGAGGAAAGGAAGACGCUUAACGAUUGUGCAUGGCUGCUUGUUGAUGUAAUUUCCCAUGCCGGUGAAGAUCUUUCUGCAUACAUUCAAGCGCAUUCUGUGGUGUCCCAUGUGGAGGUCUUUCAACAUGUUUCAUCUAUUCUCAAGGAGUGUGGAUUUUGCCCUACUGGAGAUCUUAUGGACACUAUAAACCUCCAGCCUUAUGACUGCAGAAAGUCAAACGGAGAGUCAUGCAAAGGGCUUACAGAUGCAAACAUGGCAGUUAUGGAAUCAGCCAAGCUGAAUGCUGCAGAGAAGAAGGUCACAACUGUUGGAAAUGACGGCCUCUCCCUUAUGGCACAACAGCACACUACACAAACACAGGCUGUGAGAAAGAAAGUAGGCGGAGGAUGGGAUCCCAAGUAUACAAAGAGAAGCUUUUUCCCAUAUUGGAGAUCAGUGUUACAAGCUGGGGUUCCUUUGAAGGUGUAUCCAGCCCAUGCAAGCUCAGAUCCUAGGUCUCGUGUUAACCAUGGACAACUCCAUGUCUCUCUGAGUAACUCAAUAGCCAAUGGAUCUACAACAACUCCAAAUCAUAAACUUGGUCGAACCUCGCCACUUACAAGCAAUAAUCAACCCAGAAGGUGCUUUGUCACUGCUGCUACUGGUGCAUUCAGGCUCUUGAAGGUGCUAAAGUAG